ACCUUUCCACUCAAUAACUGGCUCAUUAGGAAAUUCAAAGAAGGCCUUACGGGUAAGACUGUCUAGAGAUACACAGCACGAGUGCAACCAAUCCACCCCCAAUAUGAUAUCGAAAUCAACCAUAUCUAAUUCAAAUAGAUCCACUAAAGCCUUUAAACCACCCAUAAAUACCACACAACCCCUAUAGACUCUUCUAGUCACCACAGAGUCACCUACCAGGGUAGAAAUUGAAAGGGUCCAAAAUAAACUCGGGAUC
rnacentral:lncRNA from 1 species